rnacentral:misc_RNA from 1 species
UUGGACUACUGGGGUUUCUAAUCCCGUUCGCUACCCUAGCUUUCGAGCCUCAGCGUCAGUUACAGUCCAGAAAGCCGCCUUCGCCACUGGUGUUCUUCCCAAUAUCUACGCAUUUCACCGCUACACUGGGAAUUCCGCUUUCCUCUCCUGCACUCAAGAAAACCAGUUCGGACCCCAUCACGGGGUUGAGCCCCGCACUUUUAAGAUCCGCUUAGUUUCCCGCCUGCGCUCCCUUUACGCCCAAUAAUUCCGGACAACGCUUGCCGCCUACGUAUUACCGCGGCUGCUGGCACGUAGUUAGCCGUGGCUUCCUCGUUAGGUACCGUCAAACAAAGGCUGUAUUAUAACCCUUGCCCUUCGUCCCUAACAACAGAACUUUACGAUCCUAAGACCUUCAUCG